GAUUUGUGCCCAACCAGACUGUAUCAUCUCUCCCUCUCUCUCUCUCUCUCUCUCUCUCUCUCACACACACACACACACACACACACACACACACUGUGGCAUGUUCAGAGGCUGAACAAUCAGAAUCCUGGUGUCCUGAGUUCCUGGCCAGCACCUUGACCUCUGCAUGACCUCCCUCCUCUCUGUGACUGAGGAGUGAGCAGAGCUUCUCAUUGCAAAUCACUUGGGAGCCAGGUCAAAACUCAGGCUCUGCACUAUCAGGUCUGGGCAGGGCCUGGGGUUACUUCUCUCCAGCCUGGCCAUGGUGGUGCUUCCUGGGCCUCCCCCACCCACACUAGCAGCAAAGCUUUAAGGCCUGCAUCCCAGUCUCUGUAAUGCACACUCUGUAGAAGGAAGAAACGCUUUGUGAAUAACUUACCUGUUAGUUGUGGCUGAGAAAUUAUACUUCUGAUCCACCACCAUGUUUUCAGGUUCUCUAGAGGGGAACUGGGAGACAGUGUGAGUGAGAGCUGCUCAUAGAGCAGAGCUGGAUUCCACCCCCCCCAUGGGACUUUUUGUAUUUUGGAAAUGUGUGACAUUCAACCUGUUGAAUUUAUGCUUAGGCCUCAUCUUCAUGUCAUCUUGGGGAAUGAGAAGGUUAGAGUAUUAUCCUGAGUGUUAAACAAGCAAUUCAGCAUCAUUCUGAAAGUCUAGAAGUCAAAUAAUGGCAAAUGCUUUCAUCCUUAGCCUUCCUUUGUCUUCACGUCCUACAGGGGUGUGGACACAACCUCACUGGAUGGUCAAGCAGAUCUGCUGUGGAAAGCUGAGGAUGUGCCCAUUGUCAUCCAAUGAACUGUCAGAAAUAAUAUUUAAGUCUGAAUGUGUGGAUUGCAGAGGCUCUGGCCACUCCCCUGCCCACCAUUUCUCUUCUAGCAGCUGGUGGUCCUUUUCUAAAGCACUGGGGGGGGGGUGGUUGUUAAGAACACCUGCAAUUCUACCUGCUAUUUUAAAUUCAGAGGUCUUUUUGCUAGUAGAGUACACUACUAGGCACCGGCUUCCACCCAAGCUCAGUUAACAUGCAGGAGUUUCUGUUAUUAUCCAUCUCUGAUCAUCAGCUUGGGCUUAUGGUUUUACAAGGUACCAGGACAGUGCAGGAUGCUGUGCAGGGGCAUCACUUCUGUGGAACUGCCACCUCCCCAGCAUUCACCACACCAGGAGUCCCAGAGCCAGCAAAAAGACCAUCCCAGGGGAACGCCUGGCCCUGCCUGUGGGCACAGCGACAACCCCACCUCGAUUUCAAGGCCAGAAAGUGGGGUUCCCCAAGGAAGCUUCCAAGAAAGGAAAUCUGGAAGGGAAAGUACAAAAAGGAAGUUGGAGUCAAUACAACCUGAUGAGUCUCUGCUACUGAAUUCAUGAUGACUUUUAGUGGGGGGCGAGGCCCUACCCUUAAAUGGAAAGGGUGGCACCUCUGGGCCCCAACAAGAGCUGCUAAAGAAUUGGAAGAGUGUGUUUCCUUUUGCAGGGGUCCAUAUAUGGGGGUGAAUAGAAAGGAACCAGACCAGCUGUGGCAAGGCAGAGCCAGGUGCUGGGUGGAGGGACCCCCAUUGGGACAGGAGAAAGGCAGGUCCUACAAGCUCUGUGACAGCCUUCUUAUCUUGGAAGAGGGUGGAAACCAGCCCUACAGAGCUUGGCUGUGCCCACUUCCUGGGUGACAGGCACUGAAAACCCAGGUCCCAGGGAGCAGAAGGGCCCUGCCUCCUUGGAGUCCCUGAGCUCACCCACAUCCCUGAGGGAUUGGAACCAGAAAAGGAAAGUGUUUGCCAGGGGCAUGACGUUGAAGCAAUCCAGAGAGCCCUGCACUUUCCUCUGUUGUUCUUUCUAACUUCUUUUUUUUAAUCAGAGACCUUGGUUAUGACCCUGAAUUAAGCAAAUUAGGUGCACCCAGUCCCUAAAAGUCAGCCUCAUCUUGUCCUCCUGAAAUGUGCAUUUCACACUUUUUGUCUGGGAGCAUCCUGAGCUUACAGGAGGAGCCCUGGGCUCCCCAGGUUCCUGGGACACGCCUGGAGGUAGUUGAGGAUGGGGUGCUCAAGUAAAUCACUGGGCUGUGGCUCCUGUUUUCAUGGCUGUAGCCAAUUUAUGCAUGUGUCUGCUCCUCUUUGAGGGCUUUUAUGAUAAAAACAAGAUGAGAUAAAAAUGAGAAUCUGAAAGUUAUGAAAAGAAUUAAAAGCACAGCAUGAAUCAGUAACAGCCUCAUUUUUUGUGUGUUUUCUGUUAAUGAGGGUGAACCUCACUAGACGCUGAAGGAGAUAAGAAAAGAGAAGUUAGCCUGCAAGAAAUCCCCAGAGCCUGGCUAGUCCUCACUGAGAUUGGCUGGUCCUUCUUGGCUUUGGAGGGAGGGUAGGUCCUGGGUAGGUGUUCAAAUAUUAUUUCAGUCGUGCAGGAUUAGAGGUGUUGUGCUUUAAAUGUUUUUAAUUUAAGGUUUUUACCAGAGAUGAUUGUGAAACAAUUGUAGGGCAGCACAGGAAGCACUGAACCAGCCUCACGGUUCACUUUUGUGCUGUAUGUUUUCUUUCUCUUCUGCACCCAAACAACGUGUCAUUUGUGUUUUGACCUUUGCUUCCAUAACCAUCCAAAUAGACACCUGGCAAAUGCAGGGGAUGACAAACACCCCCAGGAUGCACAGCAAGAUGAACCAGCCUGUUCUCAGAAGCCUGGGGAGCUCUGCCAACUUGGAGCUGUCUGUGGGAACUGCUGAGGGUGGAGAUAAUGGCCAUAAUGAAAUAUAUAGCAAAGGCAGAUGGAGGGUGUUUAAUGAGA
rnacentral:lncRNA from 1 species